rnacentral:rRNA from 1 species
AGUAAUGUCUGGGAAACUGCCUGAUGGAGGGGGAGUAACUACUGGAAACGGUAGCUAAUACCGCAUAAUGUCGCAAGACCAAANAGGGGGACCUUCGGGCCUCUUGCCAUCGGAUGUGCCCAGAUGGGAUUAGCUAGUAGGUGGGGUAACGGCUCACCUAGGCGACGAUCCCUAGCUGGUCUGAGAGGAUGACCAGCCACACUGGAACUGAGACACGGUCCAGACUCCUACGGGAGGCAGCAUG